rnacentral:rRNA from 1 species
UUGAAAGGGAAACGAUUGAAGUCAGUCGUACCUGCGGAUAAUCAACCUUUAGAUGCGAUUUUGUGGAGUGUGAGGAGCUAAUCGCCUUCAUGCCUGUAUAUUCGUGUACUUGGGGUGUACUUAUUCGUGAGGUAAGUUAACAUCAAUUUUGGUGGUCAUAAAAUGACUGGAGGAAUGUAGCUUCGAUCUCGUAUUGAAGUGUUAUAGCCUUCGGUAGAUGUGAUGAUCGAGAUUGAGGAUUGCAACGGAUACCCUUCGGGGCUACCUGUCUGGUCUCUGAUCGUUGCUCUGGUGCCGAAAGCUUGCUUACGGUUAUCAAAGUCGAUGGUCAAUAGGUUAGAACGGGUUAAAUUCGUUAAGGAUGUUGACGUA